CGCGAAUGGCUCAUUACAACAGCUGUUGUUUCUUGGAUCUUACUUUACUUGGAUAACUGUGGUAAUUCUAGAGCUAAUACAUGCAACCAAGCUCCAACCAUAAGGAAGGAGCGCAUUUAUUAGACCAAAACCAAUCAGCCUUGGCUGAAUUUUGGUGACUCUGAAUAACUUUGCUGAUCACACAGUCCUAGCACUGGUGACAUAUCUUUCAAGUGUCUGCCCUAUCAACUUUCGAUGGUAGUUUAUGUGACUACCAUGGUUGUAACGGGUAACGGAGAAUAAGGGUUCGACUCCGGAGAGGGAGCCUGAGAAAUGGCUACCACAUCCAAGGAAGGCAGCAGGC
rnacentral:rRNA from 1 species